rnacentral:rRNA from 1 species
UACGGGGGGGGUAAGCGUUGUUCGGAAUUACUGGGCGUAAAGGGCUCGUAGGCGGCCAACUAAGUCAGACGUGAAAUCCCUCAGCUUAACUGGGGAACUGCGUCUGAUACUGGAUGGCUUGGAUUUGGGAGAGGGAUGCGGAAUUCCAGGUGUAGCGGUGAAAUGACGUAGAUAUCUGGAGGAACACCGGUGGCGAAGGCGGCAUCCUGGACCAAUACUGACGCUGAGGAGCGAAAGCCAGGGGAGCAAACGGGG